GAUGAACGCUGGCGGCGUGCUUAACACAUGCAAGUCGAACGAUGAAGCCCAGCUUGCUGGGUGGAUUAGUGGCGAACGGGUGAGUAACACGUGAGUAACCUGCCCUUAACUCUGGGAUAAGCCUGGGAAACUGGGUCUAAUACCGGAUAGGAGCGUCCACCGCAUGGUGGGUGUUGGAAAGAUUUAUCGGUUUUGGAUGGACUCGCGGCCUAUCAGCUUGUUGGUGAGGUAAUGGCUCACCAAGGCGACGACGGGUAGCCGGCCUGAGAGGGUGACCGGCCACACUGGGACUGAGACACGGCCAAGACUCCUACGGGAGGAAGCAGUGGGGAAUAUUGCACAAUGGGCGCAAGCCUGAUGCAGCGACGCCGCGUGAGGGAUGACGGCCUUCGGGUUGUAAACCUCUUUCAGUAGGGAAGAAGCGAAAGUGACGGUACCUGCAGAAGAAGCACCGGCUAACUACGUG
rnacentral:rRNA from 1 species